GACGAACGCUGGCGGCGUGCUUAACACAUGCAAGUCGAACGGAAAGGCCCUGCUUUUGUGGGGUGCUCGAGUGGCGAACGGGUGAGUAACACGUGAGUAACCUGCCCUUGACUUUGGGAUAACUUCAGGAAACUGGGGCUAAUACCGGAUAGGAGCUCCUGCUGCAUGGUGGGGGUUGGAAAGUUUCGGCGGUUGGGGAUGGACUCGCGGCUUAUCAGCUUGUUGGUGGGGUAGUGGCUUACCAAGGCUUUGACGGGUAGCCGGCCUGAGAGGGUGACCGGCCACAUGGGGACUGAGAUACGGCCCAGACUCCUACGGGAGGCAGCAGGGGGGAAUAUUGCACAAUGGGCGGAAGCCUGAUGCAGCAACGCCGCGUGCGGGAUGACGGCCUUCGGGUUGUAAACCGCUUUCGCCUGUGACGAAGCGUGAGUGACGGGAAUGGGUAAAGAAGCACCGGCUAACUACGU
rnacentral:rRNA from 1 species